UUCGUGUGGUGCGUCCCCAGAAAAGGAAUCCGCAAAACGUCAUUUGAUGACAAACCUUAAAAACUUUUGCAUGCAAUAUGCUUUGUGAUUUCUUGUUGGCUUUUGCUGUUUGUUUCUGGGUUUCUUCCAUGUUUUAUUGUUGGUCGAAAAGUAAUUUGUUGCUGUUGUUGUUGUAGCUCCAAGACGAAGUCCUUAUGACGGCCUUCCGAUAUGCCAUUAAGGAUGAGCAGAAUGAUUUUCUCUUCCAAGGAACCACUGUGCUCGAGGUGGGCUGUAUCAUUGCCAUUCUCUCCAUGUGGGUAGUCCAGCAGGGAGCUGCUCGCGUAUUUUCCGUGGACUCUUGCGCCAGACAUGUGGUGCGUGAGAAUCACCUCGAUCAUGUGAUCGAAGUUAUGCAGCAUUGAGGAACUGGAGCUACCCCUAGUCGAUGUCAUAAUAUUGAAGUGGAUGUGUGAAAAGCCAAAAUAUAAGUGGGCGAGAUUCGCCGGGCUGGAUAUGUGUCAGGCUGCUCUGGCAGUGUUUGCCGUACAUUUCGACUUUUCCUUUCCUGCUGGUACCAAAGCGAUGGUCGUCAACACCAGUCCAUGGCAUCCGACCACGCACUGGAAGCAGACUGUCCUCCACAUCAACCAACAUCUGCCAGUACACCCAGCCGAUUAUCUUCAUUCUUCAAGCUUUAUAUACAGCUUAUAUCCAGCGUGCGCAUUCUUGCGUGCGUUAUUCUUGAUGAAGGCGCUAAUCUUACCUUCUAGUAUUUACCCGCCAGAGCUGGAAAUGACUGAAUGAGUGCCAGCUUGAAUGGUUCAGCGAAUUGGUGCAUGAAUCAUUGAAUAAGCGCAUGAAGGGCACUGCUAUAAAGUGUAGCCAGCGGUACUCCACUCUCGACAUCGAAAUCGCCAUCGCCAUCGUCGACAUUCGGUCCCCUGUCUGUGGACAGGACUGGGAGGCUGAUGGGUGAUUGGACGCCUGUGGUCCUGGCUCCCAUGUGUGCGCCAGGCGAUGGGACAUGGCGUUGCCUUGUAUUAUGCAACUGCCUUUGUAGCUUAAUUGAAUUUAAGUGCGACGCACAAUAUGCAAUAUUGCAAAAUGAUUCAUCACAUAUACACAUGUAUUCCCAUACCCGUUCCCAUUCCCAUCCACAUCAGCAUCCCCACUCUGCAGAGUGCUCUUGGCCGAGGCAAAGUGCAUUUGACUUUGUUGCACGAUUUGUCGCCGUACUCGAAGCGUUGGCGAACCAUCCACCAUCUGCCACUUGCAAAACGUCAACUUCAACGGAGGCCCUCGACUGCAACUACUGCUACAAGGGGACUGGGUGGGUCGCUGUUAUUAUGAUGUGCGCAACUUGACAAACUUUAUUACCCGC